rnacentral:sRNA from 1 species
GGGUAUUUUAACCAUGAAACAUCUGACAACAAAUUAUGUGUCUAGAUACGUUUAUGUGUGAAUGUUCAUGUUCAGGGAUUCAGUUUCACAGUUUUAACUUCAAUUUUCUUGUUUACCCCACAAAUGACAAAAUUGCGUCAUUCCUUCUCUUUGCCCCUUUCCAACACCACCCCACAAUUUUUUAAACAAUCAAAAGAAAAAUUAAAACCAGCAAACCUUGAAUUAUUGUUUGUUAUUUUGAUGGUGAAAUACUGCAGGUAGACACUGAGGUGGACAUUGAUUUCCUUUUCUCUGCGUCAAAAUGUCAAGGAAAGUUGCAAGUCUGUGAUUUUGUGUUUGGUUUUUUGCAUGUUGCUUCUAUGGAAAAACAAAACAACAACAGCAGUCCUCCCUGCCCAAAGUGUUAAAAUGCCUCCUUCAUAACCUGAGACUUACUUUCAUUUUCUAGGUGCUGGAGAAUCUGGUAAAAGCACCAUUGUGAAGCAGAUGAGGAUCCUGCAUGUUAAUGGGUUUAAUGGAGAGGGCGGCGAAGAGGACCCGCAGGCUGCAAGGAGCAACAGCGAUGGUGAGAAGGCAACCAAAGUGCAGGACA